GCAGAUAUGCAUAACAAAAUCUGAGAAAUUUGGUGUGAGAAGGUCUAAUUGGAAUGUGUAAGUAAGCCUCUGUUAAGUCAAUGGAAGUUAAAAAGUCGCCUUUCCUUAUGCU